UACGUAGGGGGCUAGCGUUGUCCGGAAUCAUUGGGCGUAAAGCGCGUGUAGGCGGUCCGGUAAGUCCGCUGUGAAAGUCGGGGGCUCAACCCUCGAAUGCCGGUGGAUACUGUCGGGCUAGAGUGCGGAAGAGGCGAGUGGAAUUCCUGGUGUAGCGGUGAAAUGCGCAGAUAUCAGGAGGAACACCAAUUGCGAAGGCAGCUCGCUAGGACGGUACUGACGCUGAGACGCGAAAAGCGUGGGGAGCGAACAGG
rnacentral:rRNA from 1 species